rnacentral:rRNA from 1 species
ACGAACGCUGGCGGCGUGCUUAACACAUGCAAGUCGAACGGAAAGGCCCUGCUUUUGUGGGGUGCUCGAGUGGCGAACGGGUGAGUAACACGUGAGUAACCUGCCCUUGACUUUGGGAUAACUUCAGGAAACUGGGGCUAAUACCGGAUAGGAGCUCCUGCUGCAUGGUGGGGGUUGGAAAGUUUCGGCGGUUGGGGAUGGACUCGCGGCUUAUCAGCUUGUUGGUGGGGUAGUGGCUUACCAAGGCUUUGACGGGUAGCCGGCCUGAGAGGGUGACCGGCCACAUUGGGCCUGAGAUACGGCCCAGACGCCUACGGGAGGCAGCAGUGGGGAAUAUUGCACAAUGGCCGGAAGCCUGAUGCGGCAACGCCGCGUGCGGAAUGCCGGCCUUCGGGUUGUAAACCGCUUUCGCCUGUGACGAAGCGUGAGUGACGGUAAUGGAUAAAAAAGCACCGGCUAACUACGUG